GAAUGGAAAGUGACGCACUGUAUUUCUAUUAUUUUGGCCGAUAAUGUGAGAAAUCUACCGCAUAUUUGUCACGUUUGACCAUGAACCCAGCAGAGGGAACCCAGCAGAUCGGACUUGCAGCGACUUUUUGCAACUUUUCCUCGGGUUUGGAUAAUCUGAGAUGAAAGUUUGACGCAUUUCACCAAGAACGAACAGAUCUCAGGUGGUCAGCAUGUCCCUGUGGAUGAUCCUUCCUCUCAGUCUGCCUGUCUUCAUCAUCACAGGACUAUGGGUUGUAUAUGCGAUGGCCUUGUACAACCAGCACGUCUGUCCUGUGAAUAACUGG